GGCUUAGAGUUUGAUCAUGGCUCAGGAUGAACGCUAGCUACAGGCUUAACACAUGCAAGUCGAGGGGCAGCAUGAACUUAGCUUGCUAAGUUUGAUGGCGACCGGCGCACGGGUGAGUAACACGUAUCCAACCUGCCGAUGACUCGGGGAUAGCCUUUCGAAAGAAAGAUUAAUACCCGAUGGCAUAGUUCUUCCGCAUGGUGGAACUAUUAAAGAAUUUCGGUCAUCGAUGGGGAUGCGUUCCAUUAGGUUGUUGGCGGGGUAACGGCCCACCAAGCCUUCGAUGGAUAGGGGUUCUGAGAGGAAGGUCCCCCACAUUGGAACUGAGACACGGUCCAAACUCCUACGGGAGGCAGCAGUGAGGAAUAUUGGUCAAUGGACGAGAGUCUGAACCAGCCAAGUAGCGUGAAGGAUGACUGCCCUAUGGGUUGUAAACUUCUUUUAUACGGGAAUAAAGUGAGGCACGUGUGCCUUUUUGUAUGUACCGUAUGAAUAAGGAUCGGCUAACUCCGUGCCAGCAGCCGCGGUAAUACGGAGGAUCCGAGCGUUAUCCGGAUUUAUUGGGUUUAAAGGGAGCGUAGGCGGACGCUUAAGUCAGUUGUGAAAGUUUGCGGCUCAACCGUAAAAUUGCAGUUGAUACUGGGUGUCUUGAGUACAGUAGAGGCAGGCG
rnacentral:rRNA from 1 species